rnacentral:rRNA from 1 species
GCAUAUCAUAGCGGAGGAAAAGAAACUAACAAGGAUUCCCCUAGUAACUGCGAGUGAAGCGGGAUAAGCUCAAAUUUAAAAUCUGGUAGCUUCGCUGCCCGAGUUGUAAUCUGGAGAAGUGCUUUCCGUGCUGGACCGUGUACAAGUCUCUUGGAACAGAGCGUCAUAGAGGGUGAGAAUCCCGUCUUUGACACGGACUACCAGUGCUUUGUGAUGCGCUCUCAAAGAGUCGAGUUGUUUGGGAAUGCAGCUCAAAAUGGGUGGUAAAUUCCAUCUAAAGCUAAAUAUUGGCGAGAGACCGAUAGCGAACAAGUACCGUGAGGGAAAGAUGAAAAGAACUUUGGAAAGAGAGUUAAACAGUACGUGAAAUUGCUGAAAGGGAAACGCUUGAAGUCAGUCGCGUUGGCCGGAACUCAGCCUGGCUUUUGCUUGGUGCAUUUUCUGGUCGACGGGUCAGCAUCAGUUUUGACUGUCGGAUAAUGGUCGGGGGAAUGUGGCAUCUUCGGAUGUGUUAUAGCCCUCGGUCGCAUACGAUGGUUGGGACUGAGGAUCUCAGCACACCUUUAUGGUCGGGGUUCGCCCACGUUUGUGCUUAGGAUGCUGGCAUAAUGGCUUUAAACGACCCGUCUUGAAACACGGACCAAGGAGUCUAACAUGCGUGCGAGUGUUUGGGUGUAAAACCCGAGCGCGUAAUGAAAGUGAAAGUUGAGAUCCCUGUCGUGGGGAGCAUCGACGCCCGGACCAGACCUUCUGUGACGGCUCUGCGGUGGAGCAUGUAUGUUGGGACCCGAAAGAUGGUGAACUAUGCCUGAAUAGGGUGAAGCCAGAGGAAAACUCUGGUGGAGGCUCGUAGCGAUUUCUGACGUGCAAAUCGAUCGUCAAAUUUGGGUAUAGGGGGCGAAAGACUAAUCGAACCAUCUAGUAGCUGGUUCUGCGAG